rnacentral:rRNA from 1 species
UGGGGAAUAUUGGACAAUGGGGGCAACCCUGAUCCAGCAAUACCGCGUGAGUGAAGAAGGCCUUCGGGUUGUAAAGCUCUUUUACCGGGGAAGAUAAUGACGGUACCCGGGGAAUAAGCUCCGGCUAACUUCGUGCCAGCAGCCGCGGUAAUACGAAGGGAGCUAGCGUUGUUCGGAAUUACUGGGCGUAAAGGGCGCGUAGGCGGUUUUGUAAGUCAGAUGUGAAAGCCCCGGGCUUAACCUGGGAACUGCAUUUGAGACUGCAAGACUAGAGAUCGAGAGAGGAAAGUGGAAUUACGAGUGUAGAAGUGAAAUUCGUAGAUAUUCGUAGGAACACCGGUGGCGAAGGCGACUUUCUGGCUCGACCCUGACGCUAAAGCGCGAAAGCGUGGGGAGCGAACA